GUGGGGAAUUGUUCGCAAUGGGCGCAAGCCUGACGACGCAACGCCGCGUGGAGGAUGAAGAAUUUCGGUUCGUAAACUCCUUUCGACCGAGAUGAAUGGCCCGUGACCCAACACGUCACGGGAUUGACAGUAUCGAGAGAAGAAGCCCCGGCUAACUCUGUGCCAGCAGCCGCGGUAAUACAGGGGGGGCAAGCGUUGUUCGGAAUUACUGGGCGUAAAGGGUUCGUAGGUGGCCAACUAAGUCAGACGUGAAAUCCCUCAGCUUAACUGGGGAACUGCCUCUGAUACUGGUUGGCUUGAGUGCAGGAGAGGAAUGCGGAAUUCCAGGUGUAGCGGUGAAAUGCGUAGAUAUCUGGAGGAACACCGGUGGCGAAGGCGGCAUUCUGGACUGUAACUGACACUGAGGAACGAAAGCCAGGGGAGCAAACGGGAUUAGAUACCCCAGUAGUCC
rnacentral:rRNA from 1 species